UACGUAGGGUGCGAGCGUUGUCCGGAAUUAUUGGGCGUAAAGAGCUUGUAGGCGGUCUGUCGCGUCGGUCGUGAAAACUUGGGGCUUAACCCUGAGCUUGCGGUCGAUACGGGCAUGACUGGAGUUCGGUAGGGGAGACUGGAAUUCCUGGUGUAGCGGUGAAAUGCGCAGAUAUCAGGAGGAACACCGGUGGCGAAGGCGGGUCUCUGGGCCGAUACUGACGCUGAGGAGCGAAAGCGUGGGGAGCGAACAGG
rnacentral:rRNA from 1 species